rnacentral:misc_RNA from 1 species
UUUCCGUAGGUGAACCUGCGGAAGGAUCAUUAAAUAAUUCAGAUGGCCUCCUAGAACUUGUUCUAGUUAGGUUCAUUCUUUUUUUACUGUGAACUGUUUUAAUUUUCAGCGUUUGAGGAAUGUCUUUUAGUCAUAGGGAUAGACUAUUAGAAUGUUAACCGAGCUGAAGUCAGGUUUAGACCUGGUAUCCUAUUAAUUAUUUACCAAAAGAAUUCAGUAUUAUUAUUGUAACAUAAGCGUAAAAAACUUAUAAAACAACUUUUAACAACGGAUCUCUUGGUUCUC